rnacentral:tRNA from 1 species
CUCGCCCCUGGGCGGCGGGGGCGCCAUGGGCUCCGACACCAUCUGCGCCGCCCUGCGCUCGGCCCGCCGGGACGAGA